rnacentral:lncRNA from 1 species
AAAAAAGAGAGACCGCCGUACAACGAAGGACGUAGAUAAUUAAUUUGCUUUGAUUAUAGCUGUCUGGGAAUGGGAAUGAGAGGCAGGGACGGUCGCAAAAACUGAUUCGGAAUCCCUGGCUCUGAAGUGGACUGGCAGACGGAAAUUGAAGUGUUUGUAAUGUAUGCGGAGGGUAGUGGAAAGAAAACGGAUUAGCCAAAGGCUUUUCCAUCUGGCCCUGGCGCCGAGUGCAAAAAGUGAC